AUUUCACAUUAAAAACAAAUAUAUCAAGUUUUCUUACUCUAGGCUAGCUUUAGGUCUUAAUACAUAUAUUUCUCUGUUGAAGCUCUUGUUCGACAUUUCGAAGAAGGGGGCUAUAUAAGAGAAGGCAUCAAGAUCUAUCAAAACCCAAGCAUGGCCAUUAAUAUUGUUAGAGUUCUCCAAUUCAUUCUUGUUGCAAUUUUCAUGGUCUCAACAGUUAUGCAAUCAACGAAUGUGGUUGAAGCUAGAGAACUGCAGCAAGGAGCAAAAUUACAGAUUUGCCCCUCUCGUUGUACUAAUGAUCAGCAGUGCCUUGCUAUUCCCGGAUGUGGAGUCAGAUGUUUGGGUUCACCUUCUAAGAGAAUUUGUUCUCAAAUUUAGUUUGCUGUUAACUUUGAAGAUUAUGAAUUAAAAUAAAAUUGUCCAUUUUAUGCCACAAUCAGAUAAUAAUAUGUAAAUCUCUUAAACUAAUUAAGAACUCAGUUUGGUACACAA